GACAGAGGUCCCAAGCGUUAGGCGGAAUCACUGGGCUUAAAGCGUGUGUAGGCGGACUUGUAAGUACCUUGUGAAAUCCCACGGCUCAACCGUGGAACUGCUGGGUAUACUGCGAGUCUUGAGCCACCUAGGGGCGAGCGGAACAAGUGGUGGAGCGGUGAAAUGCGUAGAUAUCACUUGGAACGCCAAUGGUGAAAACAGCUCGCUGGGGGUGUGCUGACGCUGGAGACACGAAAGCCAGGGGAGCAAACGGG
rnacentral:rRNA from 1 species